rnacentral:rRNA from 1 species
CGGCGAGUGAACAGGCAAGAGCUCAGAUUUGAAAGCCUUUUUGGCAUUGUAUUCUGAAGUCAGUUUCCUGAGUAUCGGUGUUUAAGUCUUCUGGAAAGGAGCGCCAUGGAGGGUGAUAGCCCCGUACGACACCUCACUCAUUGUAGGAUUCUGACGUGGAGUCGAGUUGUUUGGGAAUGCAGCUCAAAAGGGUGGUAUGCUCCAUCUAAAGCUAAAUAUCUGUGAGAGACCGAUAGCGAACAAGUACUGUGAAGGAAAGAUGAAAAGAACUUUGAAAAGAGAGUGAAAAAGUACGUGAAAUUGUUGAAAUGGAAGGAUAUGCCGCUAACAAUGUAGAGCCGUGUUUGGGGGGAAGACAAAAGCUGAAGAAUGUAUCUCUUUUAGGGAAUUAUAACUUCAGUCAAUAUUCCCAUCCGGGCGCGAGGAC